CUUGGUGCCAGCCGCCGCGGUAAUACCAGCUCUCCGAGUUGUAGGGAUGUUUAUUGGGCCUGAAGCAUCCGUAGCUGGCUAAGUUAGUCCCUUGUUAAAUCCACCGAAUUAAUCGUUGGAUUGCGGGGGAUACUGCUUGGCUAGGGGACGAGAGAGGCAGACGGUAUUUCCGGGGUAGGGGUGAAAUCCUAUAAUCCCGGGAAGACCACCAGUGGCGAAGGCGGUCUGCUAGAACGCGCCCGACGGUGAGGGAUGAAAGCUGGGGGAGCGAACCGGAUUAGAUACCCGGGUAGUCCCAGCUGUAAACGAUGCAGGCUAGGUGUUUGGACGGCCACGUGCCGUUCUAGUGCCGCAGGGAAGCUGUUAAGCCUGCCGCCUGGGGAGUACGAUCGCAAGAUUGAAACUCAAAGGAAUUGGCGGGGUGC
rnacentral:rRNA from 1 species